rnacentral:rRNA from 1 species
AUGAACGCUAGCGGCAGGCUUAACACAUGCAAGUCGAGGGGCAGCGGGAUGUAGCAAUACAUUGCCGGCGACCGGCGGAUGGGUGCGUAACGCGUAUGCAACCUACCUUAUACAGGGGAAUAACCUUUCGAAAGGGAGACUAACACCCCAUAGUAUUGAUUUAAGGCAUCUUAGAUUAAUUAAAUAUUUAUAGGUAUAAGAUGGGCAUGCGUAUGAUUAGCUAGUUGGUAAGGUAACGGCUUACCAAGGCGACGAUCAUUAGGGGUUCUGAGAGGAAGGUCCCCCACACUGGUACUGAGACACGGACCAGACUCCUACGGGAGGCAGCAGUGAGGAAUAUUGGUCAAUGGGCGCAAGCCUGAACCAGCCAUGCCGCGUGCAGGAAAAGACGGCCUUAUGGGUUGUAAACUGCUUUUACAUAAGACUAACCGUAUAUUUGCGAAUAUACCUGAAUGUAUUAUGAGAAUAAGGAUCGGCUAACUCCGUGCCAGCAGCGGC